AUACGGAGGGUGCGAGCGUUAAUCGGAAUCACUGGGCGUAAAGGGCGCGUAGGCGGCGCAGUAAGUAGGGGGUGAAAUCUCACGGCUCAACCGUGAAACUGCCUCCUAAACUGCUGUGCUUGAGCACGGUAGAGGCAGAUGGAAUUCCCGGUGUAGCGGUGGAAUGCGUAGAUAUCGGGAAGAACACCAGUGGCGAAGGCGGUCUGCUGGGCCGUUGCUGACGCUGAGGCGCGACAGCGUGGGGAGCAAACAGGAUUAGAUACCCCAGUAGUCC
rnacentral:rRNA from 1 species